GUGCUUGCUUUGGCAGCGCAUAUACUAAAACUGAAAUGACACAGAGAUUAGCGUGGUCCCUGUACAAAGAUAACAUGCAAAUUCAUGAAACGUUCCAUAUUUUU